rnacentral:lncRNA from 1 species
CUCGAUGUCCAUUACCAUCUCUCCAUGAUUGAAACUUGCCUGGCUCGAACCCGAUGCCAUGAAUCAGCUUAUGCCCAGCAGAGGAGGAAUUCUGGGUAAGCUUAGUCUACCAUGUGUCCUAUAGACAAAGCCGAUGAAAAGUGCCAUAUCAGCAUUUUAAAUUGAAAAAUUCUAUGCGGUCUGUUGAGGUGAUUAAAUGGUAGUGUGUUGAGAUGGUUGCAAAUUUUUUCAAUUCAAAAUAUUAGUG